GGGUGUCGAGAGAUGCUUUGAAAAAGAUCCUACUGGAGGUAGCACAGAUGGAGAAGGUGGUUGACAAUCCGGAGAAGGAUCUGACGAUGACGAUGGAGACUGAAGGAUUUCUGGAGAUGGCAACUCUUGCUAGAUGCUUUUUAGUAUCCACUUCUCAUGCGGGACCCUCAGAUCCGAUGCCUCGUGCUCCAUCCAUAGGAAAGAUCUUUCAAUCCACGAUGAAAUACUU
rnacentral:lncRNA from 1 species